rnacentral:tRNA from 1 species
GCUAGGAUGGCCGAGUGGUUAAGGCGUUGGACUUAAGCUUGUAUCCUCGUGGGUUCGAUCCCCACUCCUAGCA